AUUGCAAGUUUGAGGCCAUAGCAGAAGCACUCAUGGCACAGCCAUGUCAGAUUCUGAGGAAUCUGAAUUCUGCA
rnacentral:ribozyme from 1 species